AGUGGCGGACGGGUGAGUAACGCGUAAGAAUCUAACUUCAGGACGGGGACAACAGUUGGAAACGACUGCUAAUACCCGAUGUGCCGCAAGGUGAAACCUAAUUGGCCUGGAGAAGAGCUUGCGUCUGAUUAGCUAGUUGGUGGGGUAAAGGCCUACCAAGGCGACGAUCAGUAGCUGGUCUGAGAGGAUGAGCAGCCACACUGGGACUGAGACACGGCCCAGACUCCUACGGGAGGCAGCAGUGGGGAAUUUUCCGCAAUGGGCGAAAGCCUGACGGAGCAACGCCGCGUGAGGGAGGAAGGUCUUUGGAUUGUAAACCUCUUUUCUCAAGGAAGAAGUUCUGACGGUACUUGAGGAAUCAGCCUCGGCUAACUCCGUGCCAGCAGCCGCGGUAAUACGGGGGAGGCAAGCGUUAUCCGGAAUUAUUGGGCGUAAAGCGUCCGCAGGUGGUCAGCCAAGUCUGCCGUCAAAUCAGGUUGCUUAACGACCUAAAGGCGGUGGAAACUGGCAGACUAGAGAGCAGUAGGGGUAGCAGGAAUUCCCAGUGUAGCGGUGAUAUGCGUAGAGAUUGGGAAGAACAUCGGUGGCGAAAGCGUGCUACUGGGCUGUAUCUGACACUCAGGGACGAAAGCUAGGGGAGCGAAAGGGAUUAGAUACCCCUGUAGUCCUAGCCGUAAACGAUGGAUACUAGGCGUGGCUU
rnacentral:rRNA from 1 species